AGGUAACAGUGCAAGUCCUUAAUCAACUUAUUGCAAAGAUACAUGAACAGCUUCCUGGAUUAGAAUCAAAUGAAGAAACAGACCAAAUCAAUAAGCAUUUCCAAAACACACUGGAACAUUUACGAAAUCGUAUGGAUGCACCAGAAAAUGAUGGACCAUCAUAUACUGGAUUAGUAUUAUAAAACUUUAUUUAUAAUUUAAGAAUUCUUGUUGAUUUGGAAGAUUUGAAAGAGAAAUUGAAUGAAUUAAUUUUGGCAAGCUUUUUAAUUGGAAUUUGUUUUUUUUAUACAUAUAAUUUACACUGAAAUUGUACAAAAUAUAUUUAACAUUAAUAAUGUAUAAGAAAAUAACAAAGAAUAAUGUUAUGUAUGAUACUUUGUAUUCUCAUUGAAAAAGAAUUAAGGCUUAGUUUGUACAGUAAAACUAUUGUUUUUUUUUAUUUAAUUUAGUCUUAUAUCAUUAAAUCAAGAAUAUGGAAUAAGUGCACUAAGAUUCUUGAAGCAAAUGAACAAUGGUAUUUUGCAGAAACAAUUUUGAAAAUAUUUUCAGAAGAUCAUUUCUGAAAAUAAAUUGUUGGAGAUUGUAUAAAUUUCAAUAUGAUUAUUGUAAUUGGCUGAUAAAUAAACUGCUUGUCUAUA